rnacentral:pre_miRNA from 1 species
GAAACACCCUUAUGGAGUAGAACUUGCUUCAGUGGGGCUUUGGGACUCACUGAGUCUGCCCCUUGAGUGUGUCGCU